rnacentral:rRNA from 1 species
AGGACGAACGCUGGCGGCGCGCCUAACACAUGCAAGUCGAACGGGUGAGAGGAGCUUGCUCCUCAAGCUAGUGGCGGACGGGUGAGUAACACGUGAGCAACCUGCCUUUCAGUGGGGGACAACAGUUGGAAACGACUGCUAAUACCGCAUAACGUGCUUCGAAGGCAUCUUCGAGGUACCAAAGAUUUAUUGCUGAAAGAUGGGCUCGCGUCUGAUUAGAUAGUUGGUGAGGUAACGGCCCACCAAGUCGACGAUCAGUAGCCGGACUGAGAGGUUGAACGGCCACAUUGGGACUGAGACACGGCCCAGACUCCUACGGGAGGCAGCAGUGGGGGAUAUUGGACAAAUGGGGGAAACCCUGAUCCAGCGACGCCGCGUGAGGGAAGAAGGUUUUCGGAUUGUAAACCUCUGUUGACAGGGAAGAAAAUGACGGUACCUGUUUAGAAAGCCACGGCUAACUACGUGCCAGCCGCCGC